GCGUAUAUUAAGGUUGCUGCAGUUAAAAAGCUCGUAGUUGGAUUUGUGGCGCGGCCGUCCGGCGGGGCUCUUUCAUUAGGGCCGUUUGUCCGGUUUUUCGGCCGCUCCAUUCUCGGGUAGCGUGUCGCUGGCAUUAGGUUGUCGGCUUCUUCGCGCCCGUCGUUUACUGUGAAAAAAUUAGAGUGUUCAAAGCAGGCUUAGGCCGUUGGAUACAUUAGCAUGGAAUAAUGAGAUAGGGCCACGACGGUCUAUUUUGUUGGUUUGCACGUUGUGGUAAUGAUUAACAGGAACGGUUGGGGGUAUUCGUAUUCAAUUGUCAGAGGUGAAAUUCUUGGAUUUAUGGAAGACGAACUACUGCGAAAGCAUUUACCAAGGAUGUUUUCAUUAAUCAAGAACGAAAGUUAGGGGAUCGAAGAUGAUUAGAUACCAUCGUAGUCUUAACCAUAAACUAUGCCGACUAGGGAUUGGCGGUCGUUAAUUUACAGGACUCCGUCAGCACCUUCCGAGAAAUCAAAGUCUUUGGGUUCCGGGGGGAGUAUGGUCGCAA
rnacentral:rRNA from 1 species